rnacentral:rRNA from 1 species
CAAUAGCGUAUAUUUAAGUUGCUGCAGUUAAAAAGCUCGUAGUUGGAUUUCGGGUGGGAAUGGCCGGUCCGCCGUUUCGGUGUGCACUUGCUACGCCCACCUUGCUGCCGGGGACGUGCUCUUGAGUUCACGCUCGGGACACGGAGUCGGCGAGGUUACUUUGAGUAAAUUAGAGUGUUCAAAGCAGGCCUACGCUCUGAAUACAUUAGCAUGGAAUAACACGAUAGGACUCUGGCCUAUCUUGUUGGUCUGUAGGACCGGAGUAAUGAUUAAGAGGGACAGCCGGGGGCAUUCGUAUUUCAUUGUCAGAGGUGAAAUUCUUGGAUUUAUGAAAGACGAACUACUGCGAAAGCAUUUGCCAAGGAUGUUUUCAUUAA